UAGGGUAACCAACCAUCAUGGUUUGUCCAGGACUCCUUUGCUUCCUGAACAUCCCAGGAAACUUCUUAGUCCUGGGCAAGCCAGGAUGGUUGGUCACCCUAGUGCAGU
rnacentral:pre_miRNA from 1 species